CGAAAAAGAAAAAUAACAAGAAAAAAGGAAUAAGAAAAUGCUUUCUCGUUCUCUCUUUCGAUCUCUCUCUUCCUCUCUUUCUCUCUCUCCCUCUCUUUCU
rnacentral:ribozyme from 13 species